UAGGGAAUCUCCCACAAUGGGCGAAAGCCUGAUGGAGCAACGCCGCGUGUGUGAUGAAGGCUUUAGGGUCGUAAAGCACUGUUGUAUGGGAAGAAAUGCUAGAAUAGGGAAUGAUUCUAGUUCGACGGUACCAUACCAGAAAGGGACGGCUAAAUACGUGCCAGCAGCCGCGGUAAUACGUAUGUCCCGAGCGUUAUCCGGAUUUAUUGGGCGUAAAGCGAGCGCAGACGGUUGAUUAAGUCUGAUGUGAAAGCCCGGAGCUCAACUCCGGAAUGGCAUUGGAAACUGGUUAACUUGAGUGUUGUAGAGGUAAGUGGAACUCCAUGUGUAGCGGUGGAAUGCGUAGAUAUAUGGAAGAACACCAGUGGCGAAGGCGGCUUACUGGACAACAACUGACGUUGAGGCUCGAAAGUGUGGGUAGCAAACAGGAUUAGAUACCCUGGUAGUCCACACCGUAAACGAUGAAUACUAGGUGUUAGGAGGUUUCCGCCUCUUAGUGCCGAAGCUAACGCAUUAAGUAUUCCGCCUGGGGAGUACGACCGCAAGGUUG
rnacentral:rRNA from 1 species